GUGUAGCGGUGAAAUGCAUUGGUAUUACCCCAGAACACCGAUCGCGAAGGCAGCUCACUAAUUUUCAACUGACGCUCAUGCACGAAAGCGUGGGGAUCAAACAGGAUUAGAUACCCUGGUAGUCCACGCUGUAAACGAUGAUCACUAGCUGUUGGUACGCUGAAGUAUCAGUGGCUAAGCGAAAGUGAUAAGUGAUCCACCUGGGGAGUACGACCGCAAGGUUGAAACUCAAAGGAAUUGACGGGGGCCCGCACAAGCGGAGGAGCAUGUGGUUUAAUUCGAUGAUACGCGAGGAACCUUACCAGGGCUCGAACGCAGGGGGGAUAUACCUGAAAGGGUAUAGCCAGCGAUGGUCGCCUGCGAGGUGCUGCAUGGUUGUCGUCAGCUCGUGCCGUGAGGUGUCAGGUUAAGUCCUAUAACGAGCGCAACCCCUAUCCAUAGUUGCCAGCGGGUAAAGCCGGGGACUCUAUGGGAACUGCCUGCGCAAGCAGAGAGGAAGGAGGGGAUGACGUCAAAUCAGCACGGCCCUUAUGUCCUGGGCUACACACGUGCUACAAUGGUCGGUACAGAGGGCAGCGACCACGUGAGUGGGAGCCAAUCCUUAAAAGCCGAUCUCAGUUCGGAUUGGAGUCUGCAACCCGACUCCAUGAAGUUGGAUUCGCUAGUAAUCGCGCAUCAGCCAUGGCGCGGUGAAUACGUUCCCGGGCCUUGUACACACCGCCCGUCAAGCCACGGGAGCUGGGGGUACCUGAAGUUCGUGACCCGCGAGGGAGCGACCUAGGGUAAACUCAGUGACUGGGGCUAAGUCGUAACAAGGUAGCCGUAGAAUC
rnacentral:rRNA from 1 species